rnacentral:lncRNA from 1 species
CCCAAACCACCCUAGUGAAGAAAUGCCCUUGGCAGCAAAUUCCCGUUGAAAGGAAAACAUAAAUUUCUUUAUGAAAUGCAACAGCAGAUCGUGCCAGACUCACAGCUCAGUGACAUGCAAGAGCUCUCAAGGAGAAAAACAAAGGCUUCUGCCAUGGCUGGCUGAAAACAUAAGGGGUACAUAUUGCUCAGAACCUGCACAUCAGAAGCAGAGAGCCAGGGAAAAAGUUUUGCUUGAUUGCAGAGCAAAUAAAAGAAACAGCUUUUUUUGGCACUGUAGAGUUUGGAAAGGAAUGCUUAGAAACUGCAAGGGGUAGCGUCAGUGCUCAGCUGUAAAGGAAACCAAAUACAAUCACUUUUGACUGAUGUUAAUGUAAGAUAAAAGCUUUUUAAUUAUUUUUUUUCCUCAGUAGAAAGAACUAAGCAAAGUCUCAAGUGCCUGAUUAAGCUGAGACAAGAGUUGUUUCAGAAACACUGGCAAAAUCCUUGUUCUGAACAUUUUCAAGCAGCACAUUCAUGCAAAGAAAUGCUUAACUAUAAGGCAAAAUGUAGGCAGUCCUCCUAGAAGGAACUGCAAUACCUGAAGGCUGCAUUAUCAUAAAUAGCUAAAUUCUGGGAAAAGAUCAAAGGUGGAUCCUGAGCUUUUUCUAUUGGUAAAGUGGUAACUCCUCAGCUUUUUCUAUUGGUAGUUUGCAAGAGCCUGUGUCAGCUGCACAGGCUAUGGUGAGAGCUGACAAUAUUUCCAUGUAUUCCCCAGCUUGGCUGGAGAAACAGCCUCUGAAUUCUCUGAGUCACUGCUCACUUACAUCCUGCCCUGCUCCAGCACUUCCUCAUUCACACAGCAGCUCCUUGCAGCAGCAGCACGUCUGGAUCUCAGCACGUGCAGAGGGACACAGGGAGAUCCCACAGAGCCCUCCCUCCCUGUCAGGACAAAGCACCUGCCUCCUGUGGAAGCUGAGCAUCCCUGAACAGCCACCAAAGAUCCAGUCCAGGAGCUGGGACAUGCCCAUGACUGAGCUUUAGUUCAACAACAGGUCACAUGCUUUCAAAACAGCACCUCAAUACCUUGAGGCAAAUCUUCACUUCAGAGCAAGGUGUGGUGCAGAGGUAUCUGUGCUAACAGGAGAUGGAGAAGUGCUGGAGCAUUGCAUGGGCAUGAACUCCACGUGCUGAAGGCCACUUGUUCAUUUCAUCACUCCAAUACUCAAAGAUUCACUCCAAAUUCAGUUCUGUUCUAUACAAAAAGAACACUGGUGAGUGGUGUAAUCCAGCUUUUGCUUGGUGUAGUUGAAGAAUGCAACUUUAUUAGAG